AUUGAACGCUGGCGGCAGGCCUAACACAUGCAAGUCGAGCGAGCGGCGGACGGGUGAGUAAUGUUUGGGAAACUGCCUGAUGGAGGGGGAUAACUACUGGAAACGGUAGGUAAUACCGCAUAACAUCAGAUGUGGCGAGAUGGGAUUAGCUAGUAGGUGGGGUAACGGCUCACCUAGGGGACGAGCCCUAGCUGGUCUGAGAGGAUGACCAGCCACACUGGGACUGAGACACGGUCCAGACUCCUACGGGAGGCAGCAGUGGGGAAUAUUGCACAAUGGGCGCAAGCCUGAUGCAGCCAUGCCGCGUGUAUGAAGAAGGCCUUCGGGUUGUAAAGUACUGUCAGCAGGGAGGCGUUACCCGCAGAAGAAGCACCGGCUAACUCCGUGCCAGCCGCCGCGGUAAUUC
rnacentral:rRNA from 1 species